rnacentral:sRNA from 1 species
CCUACUCCUACACCUACUCUUAUCACUUGUAAUCCAAAAAAGCUCCAUUUCUUUCUUAUACGCUAAUUCACUAUUAAAUAGAAAUGUAUAUGCAAAACAGCGAGAAAUUUGUAGAUACGUUGAAUGUUGUUGCUUUCACAUUUGCAACUCUUAGUAGUUGUUCAAAACAACAAUGUCGAGCAAAGAUGUUUGCGAUGUUUGAAUGAUUCUUGGAUUGUAUUUGGAUUCCAUCGGUACUAUGGCCUGUUGAUUCGGCACCUUUGUCAUUUUAGCAACUUUUGUUUUCUUUUCUGUGUCGAUGUAGUUCUCUAUACCAUAUUCAUGUUCAUAUUCAUGUUCAUAUUCAUGUUCAUAUCAAUGUCCAUAUCAAUGUCCAUAUCAAUUUCCCAUGUUCCAUUACAUAUCCCGUGUUCUUUCCUUCUUCCAGCUUUUACAUGCUAGCCUUUUAUACAAUGAUUCCUCUCAUCUCGACUCGCUUGAUGAAUGGGCGUUUAGUUUUUGCAACAACAUAUGCGUUGGGUUAUCUCAUAUCGGGAAACACUUUCUGCCACUUUUAACUUGAACAAAGUUGGNAGAAAUAAAGUGAUGGCAGAUAUUGCAAGUUGUUUAUAGUGUGCCUGUAGAAAUGUAAAAACGCUAUGUUUCGUGAAUGCCCAGCCUGUAAANCGAAAAUAAGAUUUCGUAUUUAUUNAAGCAUUNGGAAGAUCACAAUUGGAAAAAACAACGAUACGGNUGGGNCUCUUCACAGGUCGUUCCCCNGGUAAUCACNAAACAUGAAAACCUAAAAAUACGGGUA